GCCAUCCAUCACAGUCACUGUAGUCAUCGCCCUCGUUGACAGACUCCCUGGAGAGAUCAGAAGGCUGCUAAUGGAUGUCUGAGAGGGGAGAGAGGUCCAGAAAUUUACCCAAAGGCCAUUCUGAGGAUCAGUUGGCAGAAAAGUCAUCAGGAAACACAGGACACAGACUGCUGAAGCUCCUCUCAAGGGAAAGAAGUAGCCUUGGCUGGUGACUCCAGAACCAUAACUUUCCAUUAUGCGCCUGAAGACAAAGAUGAGGCCUGAAGCAGGAGUCCAGUGCAGUUAUUUGUAAACGUGGGGCCAGGGAUAUGAGAGAGCAUCCUCCCAGGAAGGCUAAAGGCCCUUCUUAAUAGGCCCACCCUUAUUCCUACGAAUACUCUAGUUAACAGGAAUCUAAAAGAAAGCACAAAGCAGAAGGUGUCUCCACUCCAACCUGACAUCUUCCAACCUGCUACCAUGGAUCCAACAAAUGUUGCAGUGCAGCAUGGGAUACUCCCACAUAAACCCCACCCAGCCCCUCAGCCAGCCACACACCCAGAGAAGACACUGCCAUGCUCACAUGCAAAUUCUUGUUCCCCCAAAUCACUUCAUAAAAUGUUGUCAUCCCCAUCCAUUGGCAGUUACGGUGGCAGAAGCCCAAAGGCGGCCCACAGAGGCACUUUCAGAUACACAUGCCUGACUGAGGCAGAAGAGUCAUGGCAACCCAAGGCAACACAGGCUGGCAAUAUUCAUUCCUAUGGAAUGCGAUGGUGGAAGAGUCAGACAUCUCUCCUCCUCGGUGAGCUUCCCUUCUUUGCUUAUUGAGCCUGAAUGAGUGCUCCCCCAUUGGCCCUGCCCAGCCCUAGACUGGAAUAUGAGAGGAGGGUCUCCUGAAGAA